rfam:Lachnospiraceae bacterium 9_1_43BFAA genomic scaffold supercont1.3, whole genome shotgun sequence.
AUAGCAGAGCAAUAACUGCCGAAGACAGUAGGUGCCGUAAGGCAUAAGGAGAAAACGCCUACCGAGGAGAUGUAAAUUCUAAAUAUGAAUUUUCUAGCCUCUCUGUCUUUUGACAGAGAGGUUUUUAUAUCGGCGG